GUGGGGAAUUUUGGACAAUGGGGGCAACCCUGAUCCAGCAAUGCCGCGUGCAGGAAGAAGGCCUUCGGGUUGUAAACUGCUUUUGUACGGAACGAAAAGGCUCUGGUUAAUACCUGGGGCACAUGACGGUACCGUAAGAAUAAGCACCGGCUAACUACGUGCCAGCAGCCGCGGUAAUACGUAGGGUGCAAGCGUUAAUCGGAAUUACUGGGCGUAAAGCGUGCGCAGGCGGUGCGGUAAGACAGGCGUGAAAUCCCCGGGCUUAACCUGGGAAUGGCGCUUGUGACUGCAGUGCUGGAGUGUGGCAGAGGGGGAUGGAAUUCCGCGUGUAGCAGUGAAAUGCGUAGAUAUGCGGAGGAACACCGAUGGCGAAGGCAAUCCCCUGGGCCUGCACUGACGCUCAUGCACGAAAGCGUGGGGAGCAAACAGGAUUAGAAACCCGUGUAGUCC
rnacentral:rRNA from 1 species